UACAGAGGUCCCAAGCGUUGUUCGGAUUCAUUGGGCGUAAAGGGUGCGUAGGCGGCGAGGUAAGUUGGAUGUGAAAUCCCGGGGCUCAACCCCGGAACUGCAUUCAAUACUGCUUUGCUAGAGUAUUGGAGAGGAGAUUGGAAUUCACGGUGUAGCAGUGAAAUGCGUAGAUAUCGUGAGGAAGACCAGUGGCGAAGGCGAAUCUCUGGACAAUAACUGACGCUGAGGCACGAAGGCUAGGGGAGCAAAC
rnacentral:rRNA from 1 species